rnacentral:tRNA from 1 species
GCCCUGGUAGCUCAGCGGUAGAGCGCUCGGCUGUUAACCGAUAGGUCGAAGGUUCGAUCCCUUCCCAGGGCG